rnacentral:rRNA from 1 species
AGAGGGUGCGAGCGUUAAUCGGAAUUACUGGGCGUAAAGCGCACGUAGGCGGCUUGGUAUGUCGGGUGUGAAAUCCCCGGGCUCAACCUGGGAACUGCAUCCGAAACUGCCUUGCUCGAGUAUGGGAGAGGGAAGUGGAAUUUCCGGUGUAGCGGUGAAAUGCGUAGAUAUCGGAAGGAACAUCAGUGGCGAAGGCAGGCUUCUGGGCUUUACCUGACACUGAGGGACGAAAGCGUGGGUAGCAAACAGGAUUAGAUACCCUGGUAGUCCACGCUGUAAACGAUGAUGACUAGAUUUCGGCGGCUCGACCCCGUUCGGAAUCGCAGCUAACGCGGUAAGUCAUCCGCCUGGGGACUACGAACGCAAGGUUA